rnacentral:lncRNA from 1 species
GUGUCGUUUCAAGAAUAUCCUGGAGGCAGAUGCAUCUUAAAUAUGAAAAUCAAAGCAGACACUUCAGAAGGGAAUGCAGCUUCAGCGGGAACUCUAAGAAUUUCCUGAGAAUUGACCAAAGAGAAGAUGCCACCGAAGACACACAGGCAACGUGUUUCCUGAGUAUUGACCACAGAGGAGGCGUCACCUAAGACACAGGCAACGUCUCCAUUAAACUCGGCCUCUGAGAAACUUGUCUGUAUCCUGGUCACCCAGUGUCUGCCCGUCUGUCUUCCUCCAUCCCUUACAUUCCCUUGACCCUGUUGACUUUGCCUGCCUGGUUUUCCAUU